CCUACGGGAGGCAGCAGUGAGGAAUAUUGGUCAAUGGGCGCGAGCCUGAACCAGCCAAGUCGCGUGAGGGAUGACGGCCCUACGGGUUGUAAACCUCUUUUGCCGGGGAGCAACGGGCGCCACGUGUGGCGCCACUGAGAGUACCCGGAGAAAAAGCAUCGGCUAACUCCGUGCCAGCAGCCGCGGUAAGACGGAGGAUGCGAGCGUUAUCCGGAUUUAUUGGGUUUAAAGGGUGCGUAGGCGGACCGUUAAGUCAGUGGUAAAAUUGAGGGGCUAAACCCCUUCCCGCCAUUGAAACUGGCGCUCUUGAGUGGAAGAGAAGUAUGCGGAAUGCGUGGUGUAGCGGUGAAAUGCAUAGAUAUGACGCAGAACCCCGAUUGCGAAGGCAGCAUGCCGGCUUCCGACUGACGCUGAAGCACGAAAGCGUGGGGAUCGAACAGGAUUAGAUACCCGGGUAGUC
rnacentral:rRNA from 1 species